AGCAGCCGCGGUAAUUCCAGCUCCAAUAGCGUAUAUUAAAGUUGUUGCAGUUAAAAAGCUCGUAGUUGAAUUUCGGGAUCAGCAGGUUGGUCGUGCCUCUGGUAUGCACUGGUUUCGCUGAUUCCUCCUUUCUGAAGAACUGUAAUGUCAUUAAUUUGGUGUUGCAGGGAAACAGGACUGUUACUUUGAAAAAAUUAGAGUGUUUAAAGCAGGCUAACGCUUGAAUACAUUAGCAUGGAAUAAUGAAAUAGGACGUUUGAUCCUAUUUUGUUGGUUUCUAGGAUUGACGUAAUGAUUAAUAGGGAUAGUUGGGGGCAUUAGUAUUCAAUUGUCAGAGGUGAAAUUCUUGGAUUUAUUGAAGACUAACUACUGCGAAAGCAUUUGCCAAGGAUGUUUUCAUUAAUCAAGAACGAAAGUUAAGGGGGUCGAAGACGAUCAGAUACCGUCGUAGUCUUAACCAUAAACUAUGCCGACUAGGGAUCGGAUGAUGUUAAUUUUUAAUGACUCAUUC
rnacentral:rRNA from 1 species